rnacentral:rRNA from 1 species
GACGAACGCUGGCGGCGUGCUUAACACAUGCAAGUCUACGAGAACGAGGUAGCAAUAUCUUUAUUAAAGUGGCGCACGGGUGAGUAACACGUAAGUAACCUACCUUUAGAUUUGGAAUAACUCCGAGAAAUCGGGGCUAAUACCGAAUGAUGCAGCGGCACCACAAGGUGAUGUUGUUAAAGUCUAUACGGCGUCUAAAGAUGGGCUUGCGUCUGAUUAGCUUGUUGGUGAGGUAACGGCUCACCAAGGCUACGAUCAGUAGCUGGUCUGAGAGGAUGAUCAGCCACACUGGAACUGAGACACGGUCCAGACUCCUACGGGAGGCAGCAGUGAGGAAUAUUGGGCAAUGCCCGAAAGGGUGACCCAGCAACGCCGCGUGGAGGAUGAAUGCCGUAAGGUUGUAAACUCCUGUUAGAGGGGAAGA